rnacentral:rRNA from 1 species
UACGGAGGGUGCGAGCGUUGUCCGGAAUCACUGGGCGUAAAGGGCGCGUAGGCGGUCUGCUAAGCGUGUGGUGAAAGCUCGGGGCUCAACCCCGAGUCUGCCAUGCGAACUGGUGGACUUGAGCACUGUAGAGGCAGGUGGAAUUCCGGGUGUAGCGGUGGAAUGCGUAGAGAUCCGGAAGAACACCGGUGGCGAAGGCGGCCUGCUGGGCAGUUGCUGACGCUGAGGCGCGACAGCGUGGGGAGCAAACAGG